AGUCGAACGAUGAACCGGUGCUUGCACUGGGGAUUAGUGGCGAACGGGUGAGUAACACGUGAGUAACCUGCCCUUAACUCUGGGAUAAGCCUUGGAAACGAGGUCUAAUACUGGAUAUUGACUUUUCCUCGCAUGGGGAUUGGUUGAAAGAUUUAUUGGUUUUGGAUGGACUCGCGGCCUAUCAGCUUGUUGGUGAGGUAAUGGCUCACCAAGGCGACGACGGGUAGCCGGCCUGAGAGGGUGACCGGCCACACUGGGACUGAGACACGGCCCAGACUCCUACGGGAGGCAGCAGUGGGGAAUAUUGCACAAUGGGCGAAAGCCUGAUGCAGCGACGCCGCGUGAGGGAUGACGGCCUUCGGGUUGUAAACCUCUUUCAGUAGGGAACAAGGCCAGACGUUGUCUGGUUGAGGGUACUUGCAGAAGAAGCGCCGGCUAACUACGUGCCAGCAGCCGCGGUAAUACGUAGGGCGCAAGCGUUAUCCGGAAUUAUUGGGCGUAAAGAGCUCGUAGGCGGUUUGUCGCGUCUGCCGUGAAAGUCCGGGGCUCAACUCCGGAUCUGCGGUGGGUACGGGCAGACUAGAGUGAUGUAGGGGAGACUGGAAUUCCUGGUGUAGCGGUGAAAUGCGCAGAUAUCAGGAGGAACACCGAUGGCGAAGGCAGGUCUCUGGGCAUUAACUGACGCUGAGGAGCGAAAGCAUGGGGAGCGAACAGGAUUAGAUACCCUGGUAGUCCAUGCCGUAAACGUUGGGCACUAGGUGUGGGGGACAUUCCACGUUUUCCGCGCCGUAGCUAACGCAUUAAGUGCCCCGCCUGGGGAGUACGGCCGCAAGGCUAAAACUCAAAGGAAUUGACGGGGGCCCGCACAAGCGGCGGAGCAUGCGGAUUAAUUCGAUGCAACGCGAAGAACCUUACCAAGGCUUGACAUGAACUGGAAACGCUUGG
rnacentral:rRNA from 1 species